rnacentral:rRNA from 1 species
CCCGUCACGUCAUGGGAGUUGUCAAGGCGUGAAGUCCGUGGGCUGACCGUUGCAAGACGGAGGCAGCGGCCGAGCGCCGGGGCAGCGACUGGGACG